CAGGGAGACAAUAAAUUGAUUGUGAUGUCUAAGUUAUUUAUUCUUAGGCCGCAAUCCUGUCACCUUAAGGUCGAUCGGUACCUCAGAUUUUUGAAUUAGUUUUAUAAUUGAUUCUUUGAUUUCAGUUCCUAAACUUGUCUAGGUCACACCCAACAAAGUUUUCUCCUGGGCCAUUAGCUCAGGUGGUUAGAGCGCACCCCUGAUAAGGGUGAGGUCCCUGGUUCAAGUCCAGGAUGGCCCAUUCGUUGUUGGGGGUAUAGCUCAGUUGGUAGAGCGCCUGCUUUGCAAGCAGGAUGUCAGCGGUUCGAGUCCGCUUACCUCCACUGAAAACUAUCCUGAUAACUAAAUUUCUGGAGAAAAAAAUUGUAGAUGUGGCUUAGAAUUGUCUAUUUGAAAAGAACCUAGCUUCUUGUCAUCUUUUUAUAGUUGAUAAAAUGCUGGGCUCGAAUGGAUUAUUUCCAUGAGAAUUCAGUAGAACCUUGAAAACUGCAUAGAUUAGAAAGAAUAAAGCAUCUCAUGGAUGCAUAGUUCUGUUUUUAUAAUUUAGCCUUAAAACUAAAUUAUUUAAUUCUAGAAUUCAUGUUUAAUUCUUGAGUAAUAGCCGAGCACAAUUGAUUUUGUGAUUGUAUUUAA
rnacentral:tRNA from 1 species